CGUCUCCAUCCUCCGCGCUCCGGAUCCAGCUCCCUGUUGUCCGGCUGGUGCCUCCCGGCCGGCGGCGCCAAGGGACACUUCUCAUCUGGAGACCAGAGGGAAGAGAGGAACUCGAGUUUUCAAUACAGGCCAGGUUUGUGUCGAUUGCUAGCUGAGCUACGGAUCUCCGCAGCUCCUCCAGAGUUACCGUGUGCCUCUUGGCUGCAGCUUUACCGAACGUUUUCCAUUCUCAGAGUAUAAGUCAACUUUAUUGUCCUCUUCUCAUCUCCUCGCCAAUCCCAUCAACCCCUGGGUGAUCGAAUGGCCCUGAGGACGCGCAGAAGAAGCACAGAGCUCAGGCAUCACCCGUGGUUCUCCUCCUCCUUGUCUUCCCUGCUUCCCCCCCCCUCUUUUUCUCUUCUCACUGGCAUGGAGUCCAGAGCAACACAUGUCUCUGAUCAAGUCCAGCCUGCGUCAUCAGUUAGUAAACUCCAGGCUCCAGGAAAACCAACAGAGAGCACAUUCAUAGCCGGCGACCCUGUGACUGAGUGUGUGAUUCAUUACUUUUUAAUAUGCUCCCUCACCACCCCCACCGCCCCCCAACCCACCCAACCACUUCUUCUCCAAUCCGGCCGAGGGGCAACUCCACACAGCCUGAUCGAAUCCAUCAUUAAGCAUACUUGUGGUGUUACCGCUGUUGGUCUUGUUUACCAGAUGCUGUAGCCGUCUCAGCUCGGCGGAGACAGGAAUUAGCUCUGCAUUCUGAAGUUCGAGAAAGAGACGGCGACACUCGAUGAAAUCAAGCCCAAUCACAUGUAGGGAGGAGUGAUGAAGCCGAAACACAGGAGGAAGGUGGUGGACGUUGGACGAUGUGAGGCGAGGGCCGUUCCGGGGAGAGUAUUCGUCAGAAGUGAAAAGCAAGUCUAUUCCAAAGAGUAAAUUACAAAGAUGACUUUGUUUCUGAUCCCUCAGACAGCUGACACAGAUUAACAUCGCUCAGGUCAAAUUUUACAAUGCCUCGCAGAAGCAUUCGUUCCCCUUGAACUGUCCCAUAUGUGGUCACUUUACAAAUGUCAACACUUCAGUGGGAUUUUACGUAACACUAAGUCGGGCCUAACUGUGCGUUACUGUGUGUUAUAAUAAGCAGUUCCAAACAAUUUUUAAAAAAUGAGAAUGUGGUAAAGUCUUUCUGAAAAGCCGUCAGGAGUCUCCAUCAGUUUUCACGCCUGAUCCUCCGGUAGACGCGGUUCGAUUGGGGACCAAAGUUGCAUCGUUUGUUUCUUUUGAAAAACGUGUUCCCUCUUUCCCCUGUGGUGGCGCUGCUCCAAAAACUAUGGAGGGAAAUAAGAAAAACAAAGAAAACAUUCAACAUUUGCAAAAUGUAAAUAAAAAUGGACUAAUGUCCAAUUUUAGCUGUGGUGGAAUUCUCUUUUGUUUUUGUGAAAAGACCCGCAAGGCAUUUCACCUACUAGCGAAGGACUCGUUCUUUUGCUUACCCAGAAUGCCCUGCACUGUAGUCCUCUUACUGCUUUUGGAACGGCCUCAGGUCCGCUUGGCGUUCACAUAUGCAUCUGAACCACACCAGAGUUCACUUCAACUGAACCGAGACUGAGGUUUUUAGGCAGACCAGAGUUUUGUUUGGGUUUUUUUGGUCCGCAUCAGAGUUUGAUUACCCAUUCUCACCUCCUCAAACUAACUGGACUUUCAAGCCAAACAAAAUAAAAUUUGA